rnacentral:misc_RNA from 1 species
AACGCACAUUGCGCCCUUUGGUAUUCCGAAGGGCAUGCCUGUUCGAGCGUCAUUUACACCCUCAAGCCCAGCUUGGUCCUGGAGGCCGCCCCCCGGGGCGCCCCCGAAAUUCAGCGGCGGCGUAGCCGACUCCCUGGCGUAGUGACUUACUGCCGCCCCGGGGCCCGGUCGUUCGUCAGCCGGACAACGCCCAAUUUUCUAAAAUCGACCUCGGAUCAGGUAGGACUACCCGCUGAACUUAA